rnacentral:lncRNA from 1 species
GGGGAUGUCAGUUACAGGUGUUAGAGAAUAUCGGACUGAAGCUGUCUAGAAUUAAUUGCUUAGCAUAACUUGCUUAGCAUUAGUAGCUAAAUUUGCUGAAGCCUUAGGCCUCAGGCUGUGAACUUUUACUUAGAUAAGUAAAAGGGGGCCCCAGAGCUCGUUCAAGCUGGAGGGAUAAAGAAGCUGCACGGACAGCAGGAGUAGCCAACCUUGAAGAUAAGCAGCAGCCUGCCUAGAGACAAUGAAGGGGCCCAAGGAAGAAGGGGAAGAACCCAGACCUGACUAUUACUAUUGGUCCAAACUAUCGCUUAAGGGGUGGGGAAUUUAGAUUGUAAGGGUAUAACUGCCCAGGGAUUUCUUUGUUCGGGGUCCCUCUUUGGAGGCACCCAGCUCGAGCUGUAAUUACCGCACAUGUAUCAUUACAUUUUAUUUCUCUUCAGUCUGACUUCGAACUUCUGCCUCAGCAGGAACCUAGGGUUGGACCCUGUUAUGGAGGCCGGCGAGCCCGAUUUUCCAUAACACAGGAACGUGCCGAGAGGUGCGGUGGCGCGCGCGGGGGCCUUGGCAAGCCACAUGCGGCGCGGGUUCGCGGCCUGCGAUCGCACCUGCCCUCACUCCGUGUGGGACGAGGCAGCCGGGCAGACGUGGGCCAGGGCCAGGGCCAGGCCGGCGUUUUAGGACCGAGUUGCGCUGCAGCGUGUCAUUACUGUGACUUACCAAGAUGCAAGACACCUCUAGCUUCUGGAUAUGUAACAUGACACUGAUAUUCUGGACAGGUAAUUUUCAUUGUUUGAAAACCUUACCUAAUAAGG